GCCCCUGUGGCUCAGUGGUAGGAGCGACGGCCCGCCCACCAAAGGGUCGCAGGUUCGAUUCCCGGUCAAGGGCA
rnacentral:tRNA from 1 species